AGAGUUUGAUCCUGGAUCAGGACGAACGCUGGCGGCGUGCCUAAUACAUGCAAGUAGAACGCUGAAGACUUUAGCUUGCUAAAGUUGGAAGAGUUGCGAACGGGUGAGUAACGCGUAGGUAACCUGCCUACUAGCGGGGGAUAACUAUUGGAAACGAUAGCUAAUACCGCAUAACAGCAUUUAACCCAUGUUAGAUGCUUGAAAGGAGCAAUUGCUUCACUAGUAGAUGGACCUGCGUUGUAUUAGCUAGUUGGUGAGGUAACGGCUCACCAAGGCGACGAUACAUAGCCGACCUGAGAGGGUGAUCGGCCACACUGGGACUGAGACACGGCCCAGACUCCUACGGGAGGCAGCAGUAGGGAAUCUUCGGCAAUGGGGGCAACCCUGACCGAGCAACGCCGCGUGAGUGAAGAAGGUUUUCGGAUCGUAAAGCUCUGUUGUAAGAGAAGAACGUGUGUGAGAGUGGAAAGUUCACACAGUGACGGUAACUUACCAGAAAGGGACGGCUAACUACGUGCCAGCAGCCGCGGUAAUACGUACGUCCCGAGCGUUGUCCGGAUUUAUUGGGCGUAAAGCGAGCGCAGGCGGUUUAAUAAGUCUGAAGUUUAAAGGCAGUGGCUUAACCAUUGUUCGCUUUGGAAACUGUUAGACUUGAGUGCAGAAGGGGAGAGUGGAAUUCCAUGUGUAGCGGUGAAAUGCGUAGAUAUAUGGGAGGAACACCGGUGGGCGAAAGCGGCUCUCUGGUCU
rnacentral:rRNA from 1 species